CAUCGUGGGGCUGCUGAGCGGUAGCUAUUCGUCCGUGCUACGAGUCCGGCCAGACGUCGGGGUUCCGGUCGUGUUGCUGCUGCCGGGCUGCUGUGCGGCCUCGUUUCUGGUGUUAGUCCAGGAAAAACCCCAGCUGUAAGUACGGUUGACCGAAUGAUUUUGGCAUUUAUUAAAUCUGAAUUCUAUUUCUCCGCAGGCUCCCCAUUUAACAUCGGAGUGGACCAUAACUGGUUGUUGGGACAUUUGUGUUCGGCAGUUUGCUGUAGUGCAGAUUCGUCGGGUUUCCAUCAUUGUGGGGCUGCCGGGCGGUAGCUAUUCAUCCCUGCUACGUCUCCGACCAGGCGUCCGGAUUUCGGUCUUGUUGUUGGAGCUGGACGUGUUGCGACGAUACGGGAACUGAAGAAGCUCAUUAUUCAUCCUGAAACAUAGGACUGGUCCGAGUAUAGCUAGUACAGCUUCAUCUGCCCCCACCUCACCAUUGAUCCCCUAAUUGUCACCGUGAAAUAGUACCAACCCUUUAAACAACCGAGUAUCACCGAGCGAUAUGGAACGUCUUUCGAAGAAGCUGGAUAGUGGUACCUACGCAAAGCUUACAGGUCACCUCGUUAAUAACAUAUCGCUAUGGGAUUUGAGUACAGACGAUCUCGCCAUGAUGGAUAUAACCGAAGUGGGCCCCCGUAGGAUCAUACUUAACUUCAUUGAACGAAACCGAGAGUCAGCUUUAAACCAGGAUGAGAAUAUUGUUGAUAACGGACAACAAAACGAGUCCCUUCAUGAGCCA